CAUAGCCUCGCUACUCAUCUCCUUCCUCUUUAUAUAAACCACACCAAGCACCUCUCCUCCUCAACUCCUCAAGCUAUCGAUCGUACAAGAAAGAAAUCGAAGAACCCAGCAGAGGUAACUAAAACUCCACUCAGAAGCAUCAGGUAAGGGAAACACUACCUCAAAACCCAGCUGACACAGUAAGCCGGAGUCAUUUCUUAUAAUGGCGUAGGCCUCGCUAAGAGCAAUAGAUCGUUGUGGACCGACUUAACUUUUAUAUUGUACAUUAUGUUUGUUUUGAAAUUUCUAGAAAUAUUUUGUAAUGACUAAAGAACUACUAUGUAUAUAUGAUGAAAUAUAUCGUGUUAUUUCUUGUAAA